GCCUGACAACGGCGUGGAAACGGCUACGGAACAAUUUGUUUCGAUGGAUAACGGUCGACCUCUGACAUUUCAAUUGGGACCUAAACACACAAAUUGCCUCGUCGAGUAUGCUUUAAAUUAGUAGUGAAAGAAUAGCUUCGGAUGCCGCAGCAUGCGCCGCAAGAAGCGACCUGACAAAUGGCGUCGAAUUAGGAAGCUGUAUCCCGACGUCAAGGAGGGAGGUCGAACGGGUCAAACGUAUGCGAUAUCUGGUGGAGCCCAGGCCGCCCUCUCGGCCGUCGUCGAGAGCAUGCUGGAGGAGUGUAUGCAGGACGCGAGGAACUUAGCCACGGAGGCUGGUAAGAGCUGCGUCACCCCCGAAGAAAUGGAGAAGGCGUUGAGGAAGCUCUGCCUGCGUUUAAACGCGCAGCCGAGCACGCCGAGCAAACAGAAAGUUAACACGCAGAGCGAAGACGUCUGAACCGAGAGUUUGGCGAAAUCUUCCCGUGGAGAUGUCUUCACGGCGCCAAACAAUUCAAAUGUCGGGAGAAAGAGAGGGAGAAAGAGGGAGAGACUUCAGCGACAUGUGUCAUCAAAGGCUGAGCAUUCUUUUCAUUAUAUACACAACCGAAACCAACAGAAAUCCGAUCUGACGAGUGUACAACACGGACGUUAUUGCGGCGGUGAGCCAAAGCAAAGCACGACUCUCAGACGGCACACUUGACUGGCAUGUCAUCAAAGUUUUCCGUGUGUAGCCUGACUCUAAUAAAAGUCAUCCGAAAGAACGUUCUCAAUCCGCCCCGCGCUCCGGAAACCGUUCUUUGAAAUUAUGUCUCACUAAUGACGUUGCGCGCGACCUCUCCGGACGACGGUAUUCUUAGAUUGAAGCCUCGGCUGUGGAUUCAGCCUCAAGAUGCCGUUUUGUUCACGUCAUUCCGACGGCGCCGCGGCCAAGGGAGCGCUGGUCCCUUUCCGACGUGUCUCGCGCAAAGGAAAAAAAAAAACCAGCGGCGCCCGCGGAAUAUCUCCGUCCGACAGACGCGCGAGGCUCAAUAUUUUACGGGCGGAUCCACGUGAAAUAAUUGGGACGCGUUAACAAUGGACUCGGUCCUUCCUACUUUUUUUUUUUGUUCGUUUGUCUUGUUUUCGUUUCCUCCCCGCCCGUGUUUUUUUCCCUUCCCUCCUUUUUUUUCCAUUUCGACGCGUCGCGAUCGAAAAGUUAAUAGAUACGUGAAAUGGCGCGCGAUAUUCGUUACCGUGCCGCGCCGAUUUUAUUUGUAACUCGAAAAUUCGCUGUUUCAUAAAACGAGAUUCGCCAGAUAUGUACGUACCUGAAGCCGCGCGCGCUCCGGCCGGAAAAUAUUUUUUUCCGUGACAGCUCCGCGGGAACGACAAAAAAAAAGAGAGAGGGAGAAGAGAGAGAAAAACGAUGGAUGGGACGGGGCGGCUCCGGUGAUAAUCAAUCGAAAAAUGAUUUCGAAUGGCGUAACGGACCGGUCGCCGCGUCAUAAAUCUCGAAACCUAGCGAUUAAGCAGAUAUGUCCACCUGCCAAAGCGAAUAUUCACGAUUUUUGAUAUACGGGGACGAAUCUGGAAUACAAUUACGUGCAGCGUGUGUCGAAGCGUGCAACUUGGAAACUCUUUCUGAUCCGAUCCGUUGUCUAAGCAUCGCCGAACAAUGUCGCGAUGCAGUCGGCAAACUGAAUAUUCCAAUGCGAUAAAAAUUUAUUUAAAUAAAUGUGCAAAUUAAUAGACGAUUCUUUAUCUCUCUCCGGCGCGGGCGCUGCAAUAUCUCAUGCAGUAUCUUCGCUGCGAUUGCAACUUUUCGUAAUUCCAUGCAUUCAGAUGUUAUCGUUUCCCGGGGAUAAGAGAAUAAUUGUUAGCUUUCGCCGUAGCGUAUCUCUAUCGCCACACCGUGGCUUUUGUCAAUAUUUUAUAAAUCAUAAAUAUUUUGUACAUUAUUCAACGAUUACUUUUCGUUUGGAUUAUACAUACAUAGUGUACAUAUAUAGAAGAUAAUUUCUCGUCUGAAAUUGCUUCAUGGGAAAAUAACAUACAUGCGAAACGUUCAUCGAUGGAAAAUAAUUUCUCCUCCGCGCUAUAGAAAAAGGCGCAGAUUGGAAAGGCAUUUAAUAAACGAGUAGUUACGAA